rnacentral:misc_RNA from 1 species
UAAGUUUUCUUUGGAGGUUCUUCUACAGGCUCCUCCAGAGAAGAAACUGGAGGAUCUUGCACAACAUUCACAGCACUUUCAAAUGAAGCAGGCGUCUCCUCAACAGGAGCUUCUUCAACUACAAUUUCAGUCUCAAAGUCCUGUGGCUGCUGUUGCUCUGGGAGACUGUACUUGUCUACUGGAUCAUCUUCUAUGUUAACUGAGUUCACAUACUCCCUGGGUUCUUCCUCCAAAACAUAGUCAGAAACU